rnacentral:rRNA from 1 species
UACGGGGGGAGCAAGCGUUGUUCGGAUUUACUGGGCGUAAAGGGCGCGUAGGCGGUCAGCACAAGUCAGUUGUGAAAUCUCCGGGCUUAACCCGGAAAGGUCAACUGAUACUGUGCGACUAGAGUGCGGAAGGGGCAACUGGAAUUCCGUGUGUAGCGGUGAAAUGCGUAGAUAUACGGAGGAACACCUGCGGCGAAGGCGGGUUGCUGGGCUGACACUGACGCUGAGGCGCGAAAGCUAGGGGAGCGAACGGG